rnacentral:rRNA from 1 species
AACGAACGCUGGCGGCAGGCCUAACACAUGCAAGUCGAACGCCCUAGCAAUAGGGAGUGGCAGACGGGUGAGUAACGCGUGGGAACCUUCCCUGUGGUGCGGAAUAACUCGCCGAAAGGCGUGCUAAUACCGCAUAAGCCCGCAAGGGGAAAGAUUUAUCGCCAUAGGAUGGGCCCGCGUAGGAUUAGCUAGUUGGUGAGGUAAUGGCUCACCAAGGCGACGAUCCUUAGCNGGUUUGAGAGAAUGACCAGCCACACUGGGACUGAGACACGGCCCAGACUCCUACGGGAGGCAGCAGUGGGGAAUCUUGGACAAUGGGCGCAAGCCUGAUCCAGCCAUGCCGCGUGAGUGACGAAGGCCUU